rnacentral:rRNA from 1 species
UGCCUUGUUGAUCCUGCCAGUAAUCAUAUGCUUGUCUCAAAGAUUAAGCCAUGCAUGUCUAAGUACAUGCCGAAAUAAGGCGAAACCGCGAAUGGCUCAUUAAAUCAGUUAUGGUUCCUUAGAUCGUUUCUUCCUACUUGGAUAACUGUGGCAAUUCUAGAGCUAAUACAUGCAGUGAGCCUGAAGCCCUUUGGGCGACGGGUGCUUUUAUUAGACCAAGAUCGAUCGGGUUUCGGCCCGUAUUGUGUGGUGACUCUGGAUAACUUUGUGCUGAUCGCAUGGCCACGAGCCGGCGACGUUUCUUUCAAGUGUCUGCCUUAUCAACUUUCGAUGGUAGGUUACUUGCUUACCAUGGUUGUUACGGGUAACGGAGAAUCAGGGUUCGAUUCCGGAGAGGGAGCCUGAGAAACGGCUACCACAUCCAAGGAAGGCAGCAGGCGCGCAAAUUACCCACUCCCGGCACGGGGAGGUAGUGAAGAAAAAUAACAAUACGGGACUCUUUUGAGGCCCCGUAAUUGAAAUGAGUACACUCUAAAUCCUUUAACGAGGAUCAAUUGGAGGGCAAGUCUGGUGCCAGCAGCCGCGGUAAUUCCAGCUCCAAUAGCGUAUACUAAAGCUGCUGCGGUUAAAAAGCUCGUAGUUGGAUCUCAGUUCCAGACGAGUAGUGCAUCUACCCGAUGCGACGGCUCGGACUGAACAUCAUGCCGGUCCUUUCUUGGUGCACUUCAUUGUGUGCCUCGAGAAGGCCGGUGCUUUUACUUUGAAAAAAUUAGAGUGCUCAACGCAGGCGAGUCGCCUGAAUAAACUUGCAUGGAAUAAUAGAACAAGACCUCGUUUCUGUUCUGUUGGUUUUUGGAAUACGAGGUAAUGAUUAAGAGGGACAGACGGGGGCAUUCGUAUUGCGGCGCUAGAGGUGAAAUUCUUGGACCGUCACAAGACGAACUACUGCGAAAGCAUUUGCCAAGAAUGUUUUCUUUGAUCAAGAACGAAAGUCAGAGGUUCGAAGGCGAUCAGAUACCGCCCUAGUUCUGACCAUAAACGAUGCCAACCAGCGAUCCGCCUGAGUUACUCAAAUGACUCGGCGGGCAGCUUCCGGGAAACCAAAGUAUUUGGGUUCCGGGGGAAGUAUGGUUGCAAAGCUGAAACUUAAAGGAAUUGACGGAAGGGCACCACCAGGAGUGGAGCCUGCGGCUUAAUUUGACUCAACACGGGAAAACUUACCCGGCCCGGACACUGGGAGGAUUGACAGAUUGAGAGCUCUUUCUUGAUUCGGUGGAUGGUGGUGCAUGGCCGUUCUUAGUUGGUGGAGCGAUUUGUCUGGUUAAUUCCGAUAACGAACGAGACUCUAGCCUAUUAAAUAGGUGCGGGGUUCCCAGCACCUUACAACCUUCUUAGAGGGACAAGCGGCUCCUAGCCGCACGAAACAGAGCAAUAACAGGUCUGUGAUGCCCUUAGAUGUCCGGGGCCGCACGCGCGCUACACGGAAGGAAGCAGCGUGUCUUUAUCCCUGUCUGAAAAGACUGGGUAACCCGUGGAACUUCUUUCGUGAUUGGGAUAGGGGCUUGCAAUUGCUCCUCUUGAACGAGGAAUUCCCAGUAAGCGCGAGUCAUAAGCUCGCGUUGAUUACGUCCCUGCCCUUUGUACACACCGCCCGUCGCUACUACCGAUUGAAUGAUUUAGUGAGGUCUUCGGACCGAUGUCCGGCGCAGCCUUUCGGUUGCGCCGGUCUGUUGGAAAGAUGACCAAACUUGAUCAUUUAGAGGAAGUAAAAGUCGUAACAAGGUUUCCGUAGGUGAACCUGCGGAAGGAUCAUUA